GACGAACGCUGGCGGCGUGCUUAACACAUGCAAGUCGAACGGAAAGGCCCUGCUUUUGUGGGGUGCUCGAGUGGCGAACGGGUGAGUAACACGUGAGUAACCUGCCCUUGACUUUGGGAUAACUUCAGGAAACUGGGGCUAAUACCGGAUAGGAGCUCCUGCUGCAUGGUGGGGGUUGGAAAGUUUCGGCGGUUGGGGAUGGACUCGCGGCUUAUCAGCUUGUUGGUGGGGUAGUGGCUUACCAAGGCUUUGACGGGUAGCCGGCCUGAGAGGGUGACCGGCCACAUUGGGACUGAGAUACGGCCCAGACUCCUACGGGAGGCAGAAGUGGGGAAUAUUGCACAAUGGGCGGAAGCCUGAUGCAGCAACGCCGCGUGCGUGAUGACGGCCUUCGGGUUGUAAACCGCGUUCGCCUGUGACGAAGCGUGAGUGACGGUAAUGGGUAAAGAAGCACCGGCUAACUACGUG
rnacentral:rRNA from 1 species